GGGGAUUUAGCUCAGUGGUAGAGUGCUUGCCUAGCAAGCACAAGGGCCUGGGUUCGGUCCCCAGCUCCG
rnacentral:tRNA from 1 species